GACGAACGCUGGCGGCGUGCUUAACACAUGCAAGUCGAACGGAAAGGCCCUGCUUUUGUGGGGUGCUCGAGUGGCGAACGGGUGAGUAACACGUGAGUAACCUGCCCUUGACUUUGGGAUAACUUCAGGAAACUGGGGCUAAUACCGGAUAGGAGCUCCUACUGCAUGGUGGGGGUUGGAAAGUUUCGGCGGUUGGGGAUGGACUCGCGGCUUAUCAGCUUGUUGGUGGGGUAGUGGCUUACCAAGGCUUUGACGGGUAGCCGGCCUGAGAGGGUGACCGGCCACAUUGGGACUGAGAUACGGCCCAGACUCCUACGGGAGGCAGCAGUGGGGAAUAUUGCACAAUGGGCGGAAGCCUGAUGCAGCAACGCCGCGUGCGGGAUGACGGCCUUCGGGUUGUAAACCGCUUUCGCCUGUGACGAGGCGUGAGUGACGGUAAUGGGUAAAGAAGCACCGGCUAACUACGUG
rnacentral:rRNA from 1 species